GUCAGGUUACCUCCUGGGUUGUUUUAAAGAUCAAAUGAGACAAUAGUAUAUGUCAAAGUACUGUUAGUGCUGUGUUAGGUGGUGUUUGAGACUCAGAUGGACCAUUUUGUUGGUGAACUUAAAGCCAUGUACAACAUGUUAUCCCCACCGAAUGGACAACAAUAAUUUGGCAAUUUCUAGCCUGAGCCCAGGAAUUCGUUUCGAUGAGGAAACUGAAAUUUAAAGAGGUGACCUCAGCUGCGGCCAAGGAACGAGUGGCAGAGUGGGAAGUAGAGAAGGGCUGCACUGGCUCAGAGUCCAGCUUAAGCCGCCACUGCACCACAUUCCUAUCCUCGGAGGACUCACAGUCCCAUCUCUGGGAUCUACAGGAUGCACCACUGCAGCACCUUUGUGCACCCCAAGACAUCAACAUCACCCCAAAAGCUAGGAACAACUAUUGUACUAGUGCCAGGAAACCAUGGAAAGCAAACCCAGACUCAUGAAGACCCUCAGUUUCAGAUGGCACACCUCUGUGAAUUACUCUACUUAUUCAACCUUUUCCCACCAGACCAAUCCAAAGUGAGUUCACGUUCCUUGGGAGUUGAUACUACCUCAUCCAUCACAGCCUUAAAUAGGGAUUAUUCAACUUCUGAAGUUUCAUGGUUUUCAAAUUCAUGUCGAUUUUAUGUCCUUCUCCAUGAUGUAUCUAUUUGUUGGUAUAUAAAAAAAUGUUUU